UACGAAGGGGGCUAGCGUUGCUCGGAAUUACUGGGCGUAAAGGGCGCGUAGGCGGGUCGUUUAGUUAGAGGUGAAAGCCCAGGGCUCAACCCUGGAAUUGCCUUUAAUACUGGCGGCCUUGAGUAUGGCAGAGGUGUGUGGAACUCCGAGUGUAGAGGUGAAAUUCGUAGAUAUUCGCAAGAACACCAGUGGCGAAGGCGGCUCACUGGCCCGGUACUGACGCUGAGGCACGAAAGCGUGGGGAGCAAACAGG
rnacentral:rRNA from 1 species